rnacentral:rRNA from 1 species
AAUCAACGCUGGCGGCGUGCCUCAGACAUGCAAGUCGAACGCGAAAGGCUCCUUCGGGGGCCGAGUAGAGUGGCGCACGGGUGAGUAACACGUAGGUAAUCUACCUUUGGAUGGGGAAUAACAACCGGAAACGGUUGCUAAUACCGCAUAAUGCAGCGGCACCUAAUGGUGACAGUUGUUAAAGCGGGGGAUCAAAGACCUCGCGUCUGAAGAGGAGCCUGCGGCGGAUUAGCAGUUGGUAAGGUAAUGGCUUACCAAGGCUACGAUCCGUAACCGGCCUGAGAGGGCGGUCGGUCACACUGACACUGACAUACGGGUCAGACUCCUACGGGGAGGCAGCAGUCGGGAAUUUUGGGCAAUGGGCGAAAGCCUGACCCAGCAACGCCG